GCUAUAGCCAAAUGGUAAGGCAGCGGACUCUGACUCCGUCAUUGUGAAGGUUCGAAUCCUUCUAGC
rnacentral:tRNA from 1 species